ACCACAUCAGUCCUAUUACAUAAUAAACACCACCGCAUCUACGGCAGAUCACUGUUCUGCUGCCUACGUGUCAUUUUUAACUGCAACAAGACCGUUAAGUGGCUAUGGACAAAGAGACAGUGCAAGUAAGAGAGGCAGAGGGAAAAAUGGAUGGUAGCAAUAACUUACCUGGGUGUUUAUUUAACAUGAAGAAAGAUGCAGGAUGUUCAACGCUCAUCCAAACCUGUUGACUUCAGGGACUCCCAUUACACCAAGCAGAUCUAAAUUUAACUUCUUCUAUGAUGAAUUUAAAGCUAUAUUCAUCAUAACGGUAACAGUCUGAGACGGAAGAAAAGAGGAACCUAAAGAAAAUGCAUCAGACAAAACAAUAAGGCAAGGAAAGAUCUGUACUGGAACACAGUGUUUCAGAAAAGUUGAAAAGAAAGCUACAGAGAUAGGAAAUUCUGGGUUCUUUUUUCCAUACUAUACGCUUUUGUGUAAUAAUUAAAAAAAAAAAAGAUUAAAGAUACCAAGGAAUGCACUUAAAAAGAAAAAAAAUGAUUACAGGGACAUUUUGUUCUGUAGGACUUUUCUCAGAUCUUGGAAAAAUAGCUGAGCAAAUUGAUUCUAUUACAGUAAUUGCCUACGCCUUGCAGAAUGAACAGCUACCAUUACAAUAUUGGAGUAUUCAUUGGAGUAAUAUGUUUCCAGGGUAUUUUUAAUUAGUUCUACCAACUUGUCUAAUAGCCUUCCUAAAAGCCUCAAAACAUGGCAGAAGGCACAACUGCUGACUCAGGCUCGGAGAGCACCUGCACAAUCUCCUCCAGGAGAGAAACACGUGUGCCAACUGCAGUCCCUUUGGGGUCUGGGGUGAGCUCCAGUGCUUGCAGGCAGCCAUUCAGACUCACCGCGAGAUGGCACAUCCGUGUCCCACCGUCAGAGGAUGACAGCACGUUUAAUACAUGUCCCACGUCUCCAACACGAGCAUCCCCACAGGACGUGGAGCUUCUAAAUCUCGUAGUUAGGGCCAAGUCCUAGACCCCAACACAAACCCCAUCUUAUCAUGGUAACUUUGUCAAGAGGAGGGAAGUAGAGUCCACUCUCCCGGCAGAAGAAGCA